UACGUAGGGAGCAGGCGUUGUCCGGAAUCAUUGGGCGUAAAGCGCGCGUAGGUGGCCUCAUAAGUCCGCUGUGAAAGUCAAAGGCUCAACCUUUGAAAGCCGGUGGAUACUGUGGGGCUAGAGUACGGAAGAGGCGAGUGGAAUUCCUGGUGUAGCGGUGGAAUGCGCAGAUAUCAGGAGGAACACCAAUAGCGAAGGCAGCUCGCUGGGACGUUACUGACACUGAGGCGCGAAAGCGUGGGGAGCGAACAGG
rnacentral:rRNA from 1 species